rnacentral:rRNA from 1 species
UAAGUUGGUAGUGAAAGCGUUCGGCUCAACCGGAUACACAUUACUAAACUGCAAAGCUAGAGGACAAGAGAGGUCACUGGAAUUCCUAGUGUAGGAGUGAAAUCCAUAGAUAUUAGGAGGAACACCGAUGGCGUAGGCAGGUGACUGGCUUGUUCCUGACACUAAGGCACGAAAGCGUGGGUAGCAAACGGGAUUAGAUACCCCGGUAGUCCACGCCGUAAACGAUGGAUGCUA